rnacentral:rRNA from 1 species
CCAGACUCCUACGGGAGGCAGCAGUCGGGAAUAUUGCACAAUGGAGGAAACUCUGAUGCAGUGACACCGCGUAUAGGAAGAAGGUCUUAGGAUUGUAAGCUAUUGUCGUGUGAGAAGAAAAUGACCAUCACAGGAGGAAGCCCUGGCUAAAUAUGUGCCAGCAGCCGCGGUAAUACAUAUGGGGCGAGCGUUAUCCGGAUUUAUUGGGUGUAAAGGGUGCGUAGGCGGGAAAAUAAGUCAGUAUGUGAAAUCCCUCGGCUCAACUGAGGAACUGCAACUGAAACUAUUUUUCUUGAGUGUUGAAGGGGAAAGUGGAAUUCCUAGUGUAGCGGUGAAAUGCGUAGAGAUUAGGAGGAACACCAGUGGCGAAGGCGACUUUCUGGGCAACAACUGACGCUGAGGCACGAAAGUGUGGGGAGCAAACAGGAUUAGAUACCCUGGUAGUCCACACCGUAAACGAUGGAUACUAGGAGUUGGCAAAAAUAUUGUCGGUUCCGCAGUUAACGCAUUAAGUAUCCCACCUGGGGAGUACGACCGCAAGGUUAAAACUCAAAGGAAUUGACGGGGGCCCGCACAAG